AGAAUAUUGAGGAUGUCAGUUGAAAAGGAAAAGAAAUGAAAAUGGAGGGAGAGGAUUUGGAAUUAGUUUAACAACUUACAAAUGAAAAGGAUUUGGAGAGUUUUGAAUUCCUGGAUACCAAGUGAAACAUUCUGCUGGACAUAAAUGUAUUGAAUUCUUCACAAAAAUCUCAAAUUCUAUGACCAUAAAAGUUUUAUGAUAAAACUAAAAAGACACAUCAAAAAUCCUGUAGUGGCAAGAUGAUUACAUGGAGACAUGGCACAAGUUUACUCUUUCACACACAAGAAUCUGAGUUCACUGA